UGGGGAAUUUUGGACAAUGGGCGAAAGCCUGAUCCAGCAAUGCCGCGUGUGUGAAGAAGGCCUUCGGGUUGUAAAGCACUUUUGUCCGGAAAGAAAUCCUUGGCUCUAAUACAGUCGGGGGAUGACGGUACCGGAAGAAUAAGCACCGGCUAACUACGUGCCAGCAGCCGCGGUAAUACGUAGGGUGCAAGCGUUAAUCGGAAUUACUGGGCGUAAAGCGUGCGCAGGCGGUUUGCUAAGACCGAUGUGAAAUCCCCGGGCUCAACCUGGGAACUGCAUUGGUGACUGGCAGGCUAGAGUAUGGCAGAGGGGGGUAGAAUUCCACGUGUAGCAGUGAAAUGCGUAGAGAUGUGGAGGAAUACCGAUGGCGAAGGCAGCCCCCUGGGCCAAUACUGACGCUCAUGCACGAAAGCGUGGGGAGCAAAACAGGAUUAGAUACCCUGGUAGUCCACGCCCUAAACGAUGUCAACUAGUUGUUGGGGAUUCAUUCCUUAGUAACGUAGCUAACGCGUGAAGUUGACCGCCUGGGGAGUACGGUCGCAAGAUUAAAACUUAAAUGAAUUGACGGGGUCAUAGCUGUUUCCU
rnacentral:rRNA from 1 species